GUACACGAGCGGCGAACGGGUGAGUAACACGUGGGUGACCUGCCCUCAGCUUCGGGAUAAGCCUGGGAAACCGGGUCUAAUACCGGAUACGACCAGGCGCUGCAUGGUGGGUGGUGGAAAGUUUUUUCGGCUGGGGAUGGGCCCGCGGCCUAUCAGCUUGUUGGUGGGGUGAUGGCCUACCAAGGCGGUGACGGGUAGCCGGCCUGAGAGGGCGACCGGCCACACUGGGACUGAGACACGGCCCAGACUCCUACGGGAGGCAGCAGUGGGGAAUAUUGCGCAAUGGGCGGAAGCCUGACGCAGCGACGCCGCGUGGGGGAUGACGGCCUUCGGGUUGUAAACCUCUUUCGCCAGGGACGAAGCUUUUGUGACGGUACCUGGAGAAGAAGCACCGGCCAACUACGUGCCAGCAGCCGCGGUAACACGUAGGGUGCGAGCGUUGUCCGGAAUUAUUGGGCGUAAAGAGCUCGUAGGCGGUGUGUCGCGUCGGCCGUGAAAACUUGGGGCUUAACUCUGAGCGUGCGGUCGAUACGGGCAUCACUUGAGUUCGGCAGGGGAGACUGGAAUUCCUGGUGUAGCGGUGAAAUGCGCAGAUAUCAGGAGGAACACCGGUGGCGAAGGCGGGUCUCUGGGCCGAUACUGACGCUGAGGAGCGAAAGCAUGGGGAGCGAACAGGAUUAGAUACCCUGGUAGUCCAUGCCGUAAACGUUGGGCGCUAGGUGUG
rnacentral:rRNA from 1 species